rnacentral:lncRNA from 1 species
ACAACAACAACAACAACAACAACUACCCAGUAUAUUCCCACCAGGUGGGGUCUGGGGAGGGUAAUAUGUAGACGAGCCUUACCCCUGCCCGAAAGGGCAGAGAGGCUGUUUCCAGUCGACCCUUGGCGUAUAGGAUAAAAAAGGAAAAGCUGCAUUAAGAAACAAAGGUAAAAUUAGAACCACAAGCAAGACAAAACAAAAUAAUAAAGCACAAAUACUCCCGCAGAAAUAACGUAACUAAUUAUGGAAACAUAAGCAACAUAAAUACAGUCGCAUGCAAUAAUAACAAGCAGUAACUACCNN